UUGAACGCUGGCGGCAUGCCUUACACAUGCAAGUCGAACGGUAACGCGGGGGGCAACCCUGGCGACGAGUGGCGAACGGGUGAGUAAUACAUCGGAACGUACCCAGUAGUGGGGGAUAGCUCGGCGAAAGCCGGAUUAAUACCGCAUACGACCUAUGGGUGAAAGCGGGGGAUCGCAAGACCUCGCGCUAUUGGAGCGGCCGAUGUCGGAUUAGCUAGUUGGUGAGGUAAAGGCUCACCAAGGCUACGAUCCGUAGCUGGUCUGAGAGGACGACCAGCCACACUGGGACUGAGACACGGCCCAGACUCCUACGGGAGGCAGCAGUGGGGAAUUUUGGACAAUGGGCGAAAGCCUGAUCCAGCCAUGCCGCGUGUGUGAAGAAGGCCU
rnacentral:rRNA from 1 species